CCAGACUCCUACGGGAGGCAGCAGUGGGGGAUAUUGCACAAUGGGCGCAAGCCUGAUGCAGCGACGCCGCGUGGAGGAAGAAGGUUUUCGGAUUGUAAACUCCUGUCUUCAGGGACGAUAAUGACGGUACCUGAGGAGGAAGCCACGGCUAACUACGUGCCAGCAGCCGCGGUAAUACGUAGGUGGCAAGCGUUGUCCGGAAUUACUGGGUGUAAAGGGAGCGUAGGCGGGACAGCAAGUCCAGUGUGAAAUCUAUCGGCUCAACCGAGAGCUGCGCUGGAAACUGUGGUUCUUGAGUGAAGUAGAGGCAGGCGGAAUUCCUAGUGUAGCGGUGAAAUGCGUAGAUAUUAGGAGGAACACCAGUGGCGAAGGCGGCUUGCUGGACAGAGACUGACGUUGAGGCUCGAAAGCGUGGGGAGCAAACAGGAUUAGAUACCCCAGUAUA
rnacentral:rRNA from 1 species